rnacentral:rRNA from 1 species
CAGUCGCCACGGGAAUACGAAGGGUGCAAGCGUUAAUCGGAAUUACUGGGCGUAAAGCGUGCGUAGGCGGUUUGUUAAGUCUGCUGUGAAAUCCCCGGGCUCAACCUGGGAAUGGCAAUGGAUACUGGCGAGCUAGAGUGUGUCAGAGGAUGGUGGAAUUCCCGGUGUAGCGGUGAAAUGCGUAGGGAUCGGGAGGAACAUCAGUGGCGAAGGCGGCCAUCUGGGACAACACUGACGCUGAGGCACGAAAGCGUGGGGAGCAAACAGGAUUAGAUACCCCUGUAGUCCCUGUCUCUUAUAC